UACGGAGGGUGCAAGCGUUAUCCGGAUUCACUGGGUUUAAAGGGUGCGUAGGUGGGCAGGUAAGUCAGUGGUGAAAUCUCCGGGCUUAACCCGGAAACUGCCAUUGAUACUAUCUGUCUUGAAUACCGUGGAGGUGAGCGGAAUAUGUCAUGUAGCGGUGAAAUGCUUAGAUAUGACAUAGAACACCAAUCGCGAAGGCAGCUCACUACACGAAUAUUGACACUGAGGCACGAAAGCGUGGGGAUCAAACAGG
rnacentral:rRNA from 1 species